AUGGAGAUGGUGGAGAAGCUUUCUCUCACCACAAGACCACAUCCACAUCCUUACUACAUCCAAUGGUUCAACAACAGCGGCAAGGUUAAGGUAACACGUACUGUUCGUGUGCAUUUUAGUAUCUCUACAUAUGCUGAUUAUGUUGAUUGUGAUGUGGUACCUAUGCAAGCAUGUUCCUUAUUACUUGGUAGACCAUGGCAAUUUGAUAAAAAUUCUGUACACCAUGGUAGAAACAAUCACUAUACUCUUGUUCAUAAGGAUAAAAAUAUUACUUUGCUUCCUAUGACUCCUGAUUCCAUUUUGAAAGAUGAUAUUAAUAGAGCUAAUAAAGCAAAACAGGAGAAGAAUAAGAGUGAAAAUCAGAUUGUGGCAAAAGAAUUUGAGCAACAAAUGAAGCCUAAUAAUAAAUCAUCUAGUGUUGCUUCUGAAAUUAAAUUGAAAAGUGCAUGUUUAUUUGCCACCAAAUCUGAUAUUGAUGAGCUAGAUUUUAGCAAAUCUGUUUGCUAUGCUUUUGUGUGCAAAGAGGCAUUAUUUUCAUUCGAGGACGUGCCUUCCUCUUUGCCUCCUGCUGUCACUAACAUUUUGCAGGAGUUCGCUGAUGUUUUUCCACAAGACGUGCCACCGGGAUUACCGCCUAUUCGAGGGAUUGAGCAUCAGAUUGACUUAAUUCCCGGUGCUUCACUGCCAAACCGUGCACCAUACCGUACCAAUCCAGAGGAGACGAAGGAGAUUAUGCGUCAAGUACAAGAGCUUCUCGACAAAGGUUAUAUACGCGAAUCCCUUAGUCCUUGUGCUGUUCCUAUUAUUCUAGUGCCGAAAAAGGAUGGUACAUCACGUAUGUGUGUUGAUUGUAGAGGCAUUAAUAAUAUUACUAUUCGUUAUCGUCAUCCUAUUCCUAGGCUAGAUGAUAUGCUUGAUGAAUUGAGUGGCUCUACAAUAUUCUCCAAAGUUGAUUUGCGUAGUGGCUACCAUCAAAUUCGUAUGAAAUUGGGAGAUGAAUGGAAAACAGCAUUUAAAACUAAGUUUGGAUUAUAUGAGUGGUUAGUCAUGCCUUUUGGGUUAACUAAUGCACCUAGUACUUUCAUGUGA
rnacentral:rRNA from 1 species